rnacentral:sRNA from 1 species
UAUGCAUUUCAUGUUCUAAUCUAUAUUGUUAUUCUUUUUAUGAUUAACUAUGAAGUUGUAAAUCAUUUACCCUGCGAUAUCAGCCAUUAUGUUUUCAGCUUAAUAAAUGAAUAUGGUCUAAAGCAACAAUUAUUAUGUUAUGCAGCAAGUGGGAGCAAUGAUUCUUGUCGGUCACAGCAUGGGAGGAUCAAUUGUUGUGCAUGUAGCUGCAAGAAGUUCAUUGUCCACCUUGGUUGGGUUGUCGUGGAUGUUGUAGAGGUUGUAAUGUGUAGUUAUUAUUACUUUCGUGAUUACUUUUUUCGUCAUUGGAACAAAAGUGCUG